rnacentral:rRNA from 1 species
UACAGAGGUCCCGAGCGUUAGGCGGAAUCACUGGGCUUAAAGCGUGUGUAGGCGGAGCUCUAAGUACCUUGUGAAAUCCCACGGCUUAACCGUGGAACUGCUUGGUAUACUGGUUCUCUUGAGCCACCUAGGGGCAACCGGAACAAACGGUGGAGCGGUGAAAUGCGUAGAGAUCUGGAAGAACACCAAAGGCGAAGGCAGAUCGCUGGGCCGUAACUGACGCUGAGGAGCGAAAGCAUGGGGAGCGAACAGG